rnacentral:rRNA from 1 species
GCUUAGAAGCAGCCAUUCAUUUAAAGAGUGCGUAACAGCUCACUAGUCAAGAGAUUUUGCGUGGAAAAUGUAACGGGGCUAAAGUGUUAAACCGAAGACAUGGACUUCUGCUUUUGCAGGAGUGGUAGAGGAGCGUUGAUAUCGCAGUGAAGUCAGACUGGAAAGUCUGGUGGAGCGUUAUCAAGUGAGAAUGCUGGAAUCAGUAACCUUAAGGCGGGUGAGAAUCCUGCCGGUCGUAAGAGCAAGGUUUCCAGGGCUACAGUAAUUGUCCCUGGGUUAGUCGGUCCUAAGCCGAGGCGUAUCAGCGUAGGCGAUGGACAACAGGUUAAUAUUCCUGUACAGGUAGUAGUUGUGAACAGUUCACGGUGAAUGACCGGAGCGGAUUAAUGGUUUAUCCGUCCAAGUCUUUAGGGAACUAAAGAUGAGUGAAAGGUAAUCCUUGGAUUAUUAAUUCCGGGUGAAGUGCUGGCUAGAAAAGCUGAUUCACUUAUGCUGCUGCCUACCGUACCGCAAACCAACACCGGUGCUCGGGUCGAGUAGACCAAGACCUACGUGAGAACCUUCGCUAAGGAACUCGGCAAAAAAGCGUCCGUAACUUCGGAAUAAGGACUGCCCUCUCAUUAAGAUGAGGAUUUGCUAGAAACUCAGCAGAAGAUUCAGAUUAUGUUACAUAUUUACUAAAAAUUUGUUAUUUUUCGAGACCAUAAGCUCGGCCGAACGGCCUUGAGUGUGUCGAGAAAAACAACAAAUUUUAGUUAUUUACCUUUAACUGAAUUUUUUCGUUGAGACAGAACACAAAUCAGGAUUUGUUUUAACAAAUUCGUGUCUUUUCUAGUAGUCUAAUCGUCAUUUUGAUGAGAGGGCCGCAGCUAAAGAGCCCACGGAACUGUUUACCAAAAACAUAGGUCUCUGCUAACGCGAAAGCGGAUGUAUAGGGGCUGACUCCUGCCCGGUGUCGGAAGGUUAAGGGGAGAGCUUUACGGUUCGAACUGAAGCCCCGAUGAACGGCGGCGAUAACUAUGAUCGUCCUAAGGUAGCGAAAUUCCUUGUCUGGUAAGUUCAGACCCGCACGAAUGGAGUAAUCAUGUGGGCACUGUCUCGGCGAAGGCCACGGUGAACGUGCAUUGGCGGUAAAGAUGCCGUCUGAUCAUGCCAGGACGAGAAGACCCCAUGGAGCUUUACUACAACUUUGCAUUGAUUAUUGGGACAUUUUGUGUAGAAUAGGUGGAAGACUUUGAAGCAGAUACGCUAGUAUUUGUGGAGUCGAAAUGUGAAAUACCACCCUGAAUGUUUUAGUAAUCUCACUUUUGACCUGAUCGGCCAAAAGGACCGUGCAUGGCGGGUAGUUUAACUGGGGCGGUUGCCUCCUAAAGAGUAGCGGAGGCGUUCAAAGGUUGGCUAACUACGGAUGGAAAUCGUAGUGAUAGUGUAUGCGCAAAAGCCAGCUUGACUGUGAGGGCCACAACCCAAUCAGACACGAAAGUGGGAGCAAAUGACCCGCUGUACAGAACUUCGGUUCAAUUUACGUGGGAAAGACAGCGCACACGGAUAAAAGUUACCCUGGGGAUAACAGGCUGAUCGCGCCCAAUAGUUCACAUAGACGGCGCGGUUUGGCACCUCGAUGUCGGCUCAUCACAUCCUGGAGGGGGAGCACCUUCCAAGGGUCCGGCUGUUCGCCGGUUAAAGUGGUACGCGAGCUGGGUUCAGAACGUCGUGAGACAGUUCGGUUUAUAUCCGGCAUGAUCGUUAGGAAUUUUGAGGAGAUCUGCCCUUAGUACGAGAGGACCGGGGUGGACGGAUCUCUAGUGUAUCGGUUGUGACCACCUGUUGCAUUGCCGAGUAGCUAUAUCCGGAAGAGAUAAGCGCUGAAAGCAUAUUAAGCGCGAAGCCCACUCCAAGAUUAGAAUUCCCUAUGAGAUCCCAGAGAGAAGAUCUGGUUGAUAGGCGCAAGAUGGAAGUACCGCAAGGUAUGGAGUCGAAGCGUACUAAUAGAUCCAUCGCCUUUUUAUG